ACGGGAGGCAGCAGUGGGGAAUAUUGGACAAUGGGGGCAACCCUGAUCCAGCGACGCCGCGUGAGUGAAGAAGUAUUUCGGUAUGUAAAGCUCUAUCAGCAGGGAAGAUAAUGACGGUACCUGAGUAAGAAGCCCCGGCUACCUACGUGCCAGCAGCCGCGGCAAUACGUAGGGGGCAAGCGUUAUCCGGAUUUACUGGGUGUAAAGGGAGCGUAGACGGCAGGGGAAGUCUGAUGUGAAAGCCCGGGGCUCAACCCCGGGACUGCAUUGGAAACUGUCCGGCUAGAGUGCAGGAGAGGUAAGUGGAAUGCCUAGUGUAGCGGUGAAAUGCGUAGAUAUUAGGAGGAACACCAGUGGCGAAGGCGGCUUACUGGACUGUAACUGACGUUGAGGCUCGAAAGCGUGGGUAGCAAACAGGAUUAGAUACCCUGGUA
rnacentral:rRNA from 1 species